GAGAAAUGUGACAAAGAGCCAAAUUUAAGAUUAAAAUUAAAGUCAGUUUAGUUUUAAGACCAAGUUACUUUUGAGGCAAAAUCUGGAAAGAUGUAGUGCAGGCCUUUUAGAAUUAGUUAGACUAUGAACAAUUAUGGUUUAAUGUGAACAGUAUCUGGGAAAGCAUUACAAAACUAGGUCACUGUGACACAUUUAUGUAGAUGUCAACAAGCAAUGGGACAACUUAGCUUCAAGGUCUCUCCUCAUUGUACAUUUAAAUAUUCAGUGUGAGAGAGAAGAACCAGUUUUGUGCAAGUUGUAAUAAAUGGACAGUGUAUCUGAGAGGGAAUGCCAGUUUUGUGCAAGUUGUAAUGAAUGGACAGUGUAUCUGAGAGGGAAUGCCAGUUUUGUGCAAGUUGUAAUAAAUGGACAGUGUAUCUGAGAGGGAAUGCCAGUUUUAUGCAAGUUGUAAUAAAUGGACAGUGUAUCUGAGAGAGAAUGCCAGUUUUAUGCAAGUUGUAAUAAAUGUUAUGCAAGUUGUAAUAAAUGGACAGUGUAUCUGAGAGAGAAUGCCAAUUUUAUGCAAGUUGUAAUCGUUGGACAAUGUAUAAAUCUAAAAUAUCAAUCGUGUUUGAUCAAUCUAAAAUAUCUGUUGUGUUUGAUCAAUUUAUUAAAGUAUUAAGCAGCUUAUCCUAUCCAUCUGUUCUGCAGGUUUUU
rnacentral:lncRNA from 1 species